CUUUUUUUUCUUCUUCAAUUGUCUUUUGCCACUUUAUUGACAUAUAUUUCAUAUACAUAAAAUUCACCCAUUUAAAGUGUACAAUCCAGAAUUUAAUUUUAGAACAUUUUCAACGUCACCCAAAGAAACCCCAAACACACAUUUGCAGUCAUCUGCAGCAGACAAUGCUUAGCCUGAAGGGAGAAGCUGCUCAAAUAGUGGUUCUGUAGCCAACUUGGCAGAACCUUUGGAGUGUGUUGGGGAAUGCUGCUCAAACCCUAACCCCCAAGCAACUGCCUUUCCUCAGCCAUUAGAGAGAAGUUCGCAGGCACAAUGUGUUUCAUGCACCAAUCUUCAGGUCCAAGAAAGAUUUAGGUUGAUGGAAAAGUAAUUAUUUUUUUUGGCAUUAAAAGUAACGGCCAAGACUGGAUUCAGUGGCUCACACUUGUAAUCCCAGCACUUUGGAAGGCCAAGGUGGGUGGAUCACUUGAGGUCAGGAGUUGGAGACCACUCUGGCCAACAUGGAGAAACCCUGUCUAUAUUUAAAAAUAUAUGUACACAAAAUAUUAGCCGCGCGUACUGGUGUGAGACUGUAAUCCCAGAUACUUGGGAGGCUGAGGCAGGAGAACGGUUUGAAUCCGGGAGGCAGAGGUUGCAGUGAGCCAAGAUCACACCACUGCAUUCCAGCCUGGGUGACAGAGCGAGACUCUGUCUCCAAAAAAAAAAAGUAAUUGCGGUUUUUGCAUUAAAAGUAAUGGCAAAAACCGCAAUUACUUUUGCACCAACCUAAUAAUUGCAUUUUUUUUUUUUUUUCUAUAGAGUGUGGAGCAGGGGGUGCCUAUAUGUUACAGAAAGUAGAGGGCAGGUGUAGAAGGGGGUUAACUCCAAAGAGAAUGAGGGUGGGGGAUGGCAGGUGUGUGUCCAUAUCUACCAGCUAGUCUCCCCAGCAGCCAGAGGGCUCUUUUACAAAUGUGAAUUGGAUUGUAACAUUCUUCUGCUCAAAACUCUCCAGUGGCUUGCCUUAUCUUUUGGAACAAAACCUAGAGCCCUUAACAGUCCUCAUGGCCUCCCAGUCUAUCCCACGCUGUGCUUCCCUUCUCUCUCUUCCUUCCGCCCUUGCUAGCUGCUCUUCUGUUCUAUUCAGGGCCUCCAUAGCCCCUGGCUAGUGGAGAAAAAGAUGCAUACUACUGGUGGACAAAUUAGAGAAAGACUUUUGUUUCCUCAACCUGGUACAACCUAUGUUUUACAGUGUACAACCUAUGCCACAGAACAAAGAAGUUCUGCUUUAAACGUGCCAAGUCCCCCAGAACAGACAACAUUUUGACAUCGG
rnacentral:lncRNA from 10 species